UAACACGUGAGUAACCUGCCCCCGAGAGUGGGAUAGCCCUGGGAAACUGGGAUUAAUACCGCAUAGAAUCGCAAGAUUAAAGCAGCAAUGCGCUUGGGGAUGGGCUCGCGGCCUAUUAGUUAGUUGGUGAGGUAACGGCUCACCAAGGCGAUGACGGGUAGCCGGUCUGAGAGGAUGUCCGGCCACACUGGAACUGAGACACGGUCCAGACACCUACGGGUGGCAGCAGUCGAGAAUCAUUCACAAUGGGGGAAACCCUGAUGGUGCGACGCCGCGUGGGGGAAUGAAGGUCUUCGGAUUGUAAACCCCUGUCAUGUGGGAGCAAAUUAAAAAGAUAGUACCACAAGAGGAAGAGACGGCUAACUCUGUGCCAGCAGCCGCGGUAAUACAGAGGUCUCAAGCAUUGUUCGGAAUCACUGGGCGUAAAGCGUGCGUAGGCUGUUUCGUAAGUCGUGUGUGAAAGGCGCGGGCUCAACCCGCGGACGGCACAUGAUACUGCGAGACUAGAGUAAUGGAGGGGGAACCGGAAUUCUCGGUGUAGCAGUGAAAUGCGUAGAUAUCGAGAGGAACACUCGUGGCGAAGGCGGGUUCCUGGACAUUAACUGACGCUGAGGCACGAAGGCCAGGGGAGCGAAAGGGAUUAGAUACCCCUGUAGUCCUGGCAGUAAACGGUGCACGCUUGGUGUGCGGGGAAU
rnacentral:rRNA from 1 species